UGAAAGAAAGUAAGCAAGGGCGCAUGGCGGAUGCCUUGGCUCUCGGAGGCGAUGAAGGACGUGAUAAGCUGCGAUAAGCUCUGGGUAGGUGCAAAUAACCUUUGAUCCAGAGAUUUCCGAAUGGGACAACCCGGCAUUCUGAAGGAAUGUCAUCCAUCUUUGAUGGAAGCUAACGCAGGGAACUGAAACAUCUUAGUACCUGCAGGAAAAGAAAAUAAUAAUGAUUCCCCUAGUAGUGGCGAGCGAACGGGGAAUAGCCCAAACCACCCAUGUUACGGCAUGUGUGGGGUUGUAGGACCACGAUAUCGCAAGACAUCUGAUGAAUAGAAUCCUCUGGAAAGUGGAACCAUAGACGGUGAUAGUCCUGUAUAUGAAGUCAGAUUAAGCGUAGUGGUAUCCUGAGUAGCGCGGGACACGAGAAAUCUUGCGUGAAUCUGCCGGGACCAUCCGGUAAGGCUAAAUACUCCCGAGAGACCGAUAGCGAACCAGUACUGUGAAGGAAAGGUGAAAAGCACUUCGAACAGAAGAGUGAAAUAGUCCCUGAAACCGUGCGCCUACAAGCGGUCGGAGCUGCGUAAGCAGUGACGGCGUGCCUUUUGCAUAAUGAACCUACGAGUUACUUUUUCCGGCAAGGUUAAGCAUCUUGAGAUGUGCAGCCGAAGCGAAAGCGAGUCUGAACAGGGCGUCGAGUCGGAAGGAGUAGACGCGAAACCAAGUGAUCUACCCUUGGUCAGGUUGAAGGUUAGGUAACACUAACUGGAGGACCGAACCGAUAAGCGUUGAAAAGCUUCCGGAUGAACUGAGGGUGGGGGUGAAAGGCUAAUCAAACUUGGAGAUAGCUCGUACUCCCCGAAAUGCAUUUAGGUGCAGCCUUGUGAGUUACUAAUGUGAGGUAGAGCGACUGAUAAGAUGCGAGGGCUUCACCGCCUAUCAAGUCUUGAUAAACUCCGAAUGCGCAUUAGUUCUAUCACAGGAGUGAGGGCAUGGGUGCUAAGGUCCAUGUCCUAAAGGAGAAGAAUCCAGACCAUCAGCUAAGGUCCCGAAAUAAACACUAAGUUGAACUAACGAAGUCAGAUUGCUAAGACAGCUAGGAUGUUGGCUUGGAAGCAGCCAUUCAUUUAAAGAGUGCGUAACAGCUCACUAGUCGAGGAGUUUGGCGUGGAUAAUAAUCGGGCAUCAAGUGUUUUACCGAAGCUAUGGGAUCAGUAAUGAUCGGUAGGGGAGCAUUCCACUCAGCGUCGAAGGUGAAGCGUGAGCUUUGCUGGAGCGUGUGGAAAAGCAAAUGUAGGUAUAAGUAACGAUAAAGGGGGUGAGAAACCCCCUCGCCGAAAGACUAAGGUUUCCUGAUCAACGCUAAUCGGAUCAGGGUUAGUCGGGUCCUAAGGCUCAGCCGAACGGUGAGGCCGAUGGCAGAACAGGUUAAUAUUCCUGUACUACCUUAAGGAGUGACGUGGAGACGGAGGCGUGACAGCGCCGCGGACUGACGGAAUAGUCCGUUGAAGGGUGUAGAUGCUG
rnacentral:rRNA from 1 species